rnacentral:misc_RNA from 1 species
GAAAUGCGAUAACUAGUGUGAAUUUCAGAAUUCCGUGAAUCAUCGAGUCUUUGAACGCACAUUGCGCCCCCUGGUAUUCCGGGGGGCAUGCCUGUCCGAGCGUCAUUGCUGCCCAUCAAGCACGGCUUGUGUGUUGGGUCGUCGUCCCCUCUCCGGGGGGGACGGGCCCCAAAGGCAGCGGCGGCACCGCGUCCGAUCCUCGAGCGUAUGGGGCUUUGUCACCCGCUCUGUAGGCCCGGCCGGCGCUUGCCGAACGCAAAUCAAUCUUUUUCCAGGUUGACCUCGGAUCAGGUAGGGAUACCCGCUGAACUUAAGC